rnacentral:rRNA from 1 species
AUUGAACGCUGGCGGCAGGCUUAACACAUGCAAGGCGAGCGGGGGAAGGUAGCUUGCUACCGGACCUAGCGGCGGACGGGUGAGUAAUGCUUAGGAAUCUGCCUAUUAGUGGGGGACAACGUCUCGAAAGAGAUGCUAAUACCGCAUACGUCCUACGGGAGAAAGCAGGGGAUCUUCGGACCUUGCGCUAAUAGAUGAGCCUAAGUCGGAUUAGCUAGUUGGGGGGGUAAAGGCCUACCAAGGCGACGAUCUGUAGCGGGUCUGAGAGGAUGAUCCGCCACACUGGGACUGAGACACGGCCCAGACUCCUACGGGAGGGAGCAGUGGGGAAUAUUGGACAAUGGGGGGAACCCUGAUCCAGCCAUGCCGCGUGUGUGAAGAAGGCCUUAUGGUUGUAAAGCACUUUAAGCGAGGAGGAGGCUACUUUAGUUAAUACCUAGAGAUAGUGGACGUUACUCGCAGAAUAAGCACCGGCUAACUCUGUGCCAGCCGCCGCCGUAAGAC